rnacentral:rRNA from 1 species
GACGAACGCUGGCGGCGUGCUUAACACAUGCAAGUCGAACGGGUCUGCCCUGUUUUUUGCGGGGUGGGUCAGUGGCGAACGGGUGAGUAACACGUGAGUAACCUGCCCCUCACUUCUGGAUAACCGCUUGAAAGGGUGGCUAAUACGGGGUGUUCUGGCUGUGCCGCAUGGUGUGGCUGGGAAAGAUUCACUUUUGUGGUGUUUUGGUGGGGGAUGGGCUCGCGGCCUAUCAGCUUGUUGGUGGGGUGAUGGCCUGCCAAGGCUGUGACGGGUAGCCGGCCUGAGAGGGUGGGCGGUCACACGGGGACUGAGAUACGGCCCAGACUCCUGCGGGAGGCAGCAGUGGGGGGUAUUGCACAAUGGGCGGAAGCCUGAUGCAGCGACGUCGCGUGAGGGAUGGAGGCCUUCGGGUUGUGAACCUCUUUCGCCGGUGAAGAAGGUCCUGCUCUUUGUGGUGGGGUUGACGGUAGCCGGGUUAUGAAGCGCCGGCUAACUACGUG